UACAGAGGUCUCAAGCGUUGUUCGGAUUCAUUGGGCGUAAAGGGUGCGUAGGCGGCGCGGUAAGUCGGGUGUGAAAUCUCGGGGCUUAACUCCGAAACUGCAUUCGAUACUGCCGUGCUCGAGGACUGGAGAGGAGACUGGAAUUUACGGUGUAGCAGUGAAAUGCGUAGAUAUCGUAAGGAAGACCAGUGGCGAAGGCGGGUCUCUGGACAGUUCCUGACGCUGAGACACGAAGGCCAGGGGAGCAAACGGG
rnacentral:rRNA from 1 species